CAACUACUCCCUCUAUCCCAAAUUUCUUGUCUUAGAUUUGUCUAGAUACGGAUGUAUCUAAUACUAAAAUGUGACUUCAUACAUCCGUAUCUAGACAAAUCUAAGACAAGAAUUUUGGGACGGAGGGAGUACUUU
rnacentral:pre_miRNA from 1 species